rnacentral:rRNA from 1 species
UACGUAGGGGGGCUAGCGUUGUCCGGAAUCAUUGGGCGUAAAGAGCUCGUAGGCGGCCCGGUAAGUCCGCUGUGAAAGUCGGGGGGCUCAACCCUCGAAUGCCGGUGGAUACUGUCGGGCUAGAGUGCGGAAGAGGCGAGUGGAAUUCCUGGUGUAGCGGUGAAAUGCGCAGAUAUCAGGAGGAACACCAAUUGCGAAGGCAGCUCGCUGGGACGUAACUGACGCUGAGACGCGAAAGCGUGGGGAGCAAACAGG